rnacentral:rRNA from 1 species
AGUUGCAGGGUAUAGACCCGAAACCCGGUGAUCUAGCCAUGGGCAGGUUGAAGGUUGGGUAACACUAACUGGAGGACCGAACCGACUAAUGUUGAAAAAUUAGCGGAUGACCUGUGGCUGGGGGUGAAAGGCCAAUCAAACCGGGAGAUAGCUGGUUCUCCCCGAAAGCUAUUUAGGUAGCGCCUCGUGAACUCAUCUCCGGGGGUAGAGCACUGUUUCGGCUAGGGGGCCAUCCCGGCUUACCAACCCGAUGCAAACUGCGAAUACCGGAGAAUGUUAUCACGGGAGACACACGGCGGGUGCUAACGUCCGUCGUGAAGAGGGAAACAACCCAGACCGCCAGCUAAGGUCCCAAAGUCAUGGUUAAGUGGGAAACGAUGUGGGAAGGCCCAGACAGCCAGGAUGUUGGCUUAGAAGCAGCCAUCAUUUAAAGAAAGCGUAAUAGCUCACUGGUCGAGUCGGCCUGCGCGGAAGAUGUAACGGGGCUAAACCAUGCA